GUGCCAGCAGCCGCGGUAAUACGUGAUCUCCAAGCGUUAUCCGGAUUUAUUGGGCGUAAAGCGUCCGUAGGUGUCUUGCCAAGUUUUCUGUUAAAUCUCUAGGGCUCAACCUUAGAACUGCGGAAAAAACUGGCGAGAUUGAGGGCGUUGGGGGCUGGAGGAACGGUCGGUGUAGGGGUGAAAUCCGUUGAUAUCGACCGGAACACCAAAAGCGAAGGCAUCCAGCUAAUGACGACCCUGACACUGAGGGACGAAAGCGUGGGGAGCAAAAGGAUUAGAUACCCUUGUAGUCCACGCUGUAAACUAUGGACACUGGCUAUAUGAAGUGUCGACCCUUCGAGUGGCGAAGCUAACGCGUUAAGUGUCCCGCCUGGGAAGUACAGGCCGCAAGGCUAAAACUCAUAGGAGUAGACGGGGGCCUCACACAAGCGGUGGACCAUGUUGCUCAAUGUGACGAUAAACGAAGAACCUUACCAAGGCUUG
rnacentral:rRNA from 1 species